rnacentral:rRNA from 1 species
CCUACGGGUGGCUGCAGUGGGGAAUAUUGGACAAUGGGCGAAAGCCUGAUCCAGCCAUGCCGCGUGUGUGAAGAAGGCCUUCGGGUUGUAAAGCACUUUCAGUGGGGAAGAAAGCCUUGGGGCUAAUACCCUCGAGGAAGGACAUCACCCACAGAAGAAGCACCGGCUAACUCCGUGCCAGUAGCCGCGGUAAUACGGAGGGUGCGAGCGUUAAUCGGAAUUACUGGGCGUAAAGCGCGCGUAGGCGGUCUGAUAAGCCGGUUGUGAAAGCCCCGGGCUCAACCUGGGAACGGCAUCCGGAACUGUCAGGCUAGAGUGCAGGAGAGGAAGGUAGAAUUCCCGGUGUAGCGGUGAAAUGCGUAGAGAUCGGGAGGAAUACCAGUGGCGAAGGCGGCCUUCUGGACUGACACUGACGCUGAGGUGCGAAAGCGUGGGUAGCAAACAGGAUUAGAUACCCCUGUAGUC